rnacentral:rRNA from 1 species
ACGGGAGGCAGCAGUGAGGAAUAUUGGUCAAUGGCCGGAAGGCUGAACCAGCCAUGCCGCGUGAAGGAAUACGGUCCUAUGGAUUGUAAACUUCUUUUGUACGGGAGCAAUAAGGCAUACGUGUAUGCUGAUGAGAGUACCGUACGAAUAAGCAUCGGCUAACUCCGUGCCAGCAGCCGCGGUAAUACGGAGGAUGCAAGCGUUAUCCGGAUUUAUUGGGUUUAAAGGGUGCGUAGGCGGUAAGGUAAGUCAGCGGUGAAAUGUCCUCGCUCAACGAGGGAACUGCCGUUGAUACUGUUUUACUUGAAUUCGGAUGCCGUGGGAGGAAUGUGUAGUGUAGCGGUGAAAUGCAUAGAUAUUACACAGAACACCGAUUGCGAAGGCAUCUCACGAAUCCGACAUUGACGCUGAGGCACGAAAGUGUGGGGAUCAAACAGGAUUAGAUACCCUGGUA